UUGGCUAGGUGUGCGAGCUUCCCUUGCCGUGUGCGGCUACCAGGUGGGCCAUUACUCCACCCUGCUUUUCCUCAGUGAGAGAACCUGGAUGCCUUAGUUGCUGGUGCAGGAUUCACUUGCCGUUUUCGUUCUUCUAGGUGGGAGCCUCUGACCACAGCUGUUUCUAGUCAGCCAUCUUGGCCCCUCCCUCCCGAAAAUUUUAAAUUGUGCAACAUUUUUAGUAGCUUGAUGAAAUCUCUUGUCUUUGGACCUCUUCCCACCUGGCUAUAAUCAACCCUUUGUCAAAAAUAUCCCUGCUGUAUAUACUAGCUACCAGUUAGGUACUUACUUACCAUCUCGGAUAUCAGAUGGACAGAUCACAAGAAGAAGAAGUGGUCCUGGGAGCGGCAUCACUCCAAUAACACAGCAUCUAGAUCAUGGUUUCUGAAUGACCUUCAACACUAGAAAGAAUUGGGAUUUCCAGGUCCAAGGCAAGAAAAGGAUUUUCUAGCAAUUCUAUAGAAGAGUGAAAAGAGAUCAGUAGAAGAAAUAACUCAGUAGUCUGGACCUGCUCUCUCCUCAGGAUAUUGAAGAUAAUGAUGGAGAGCUCCAUUCCUGCAAAAAUUUAGCUUCAAAGAGUUCUGCUAAUGGACGAGAUACAGACACCUUCUAACCAGCAGGUGGCAAAGUGGGUUCCAGACACUGAAGUCCUGUGCUGGCAGCUGGAUUUGGAGCCAAUGUGCACAGAAGAGGAAAAGGAAAAAGAGAUGUGUGGGGAAACAACAGCAUCUGCCAAAGAAUGGAUUGAAGAAGAAAAAAGUAGUAAGUUGAAAUUCAGGGGAAUGGAUUUUUCUCCAGAAACAAAUAUAAAAGAAAACUUCAACAAAGGUGGAA
rnacentral:lncRNA from 10 species